rnacentral:rRNA from 1 species
AACGAACGCUGGCGGCAGGCUUAACACAUGCAAGUCGAGCGCCCCGCAAGGGGAGCGGCAGACGGGUGAGUAACGCGUGGGAACGUACCUUUUGGUUCGGAACAACUCCGGGAAACUGGAGCUAAUACCGGAUAAGCCCUAACGGGGAAAGAUUUAUCGCCGAAAGAUCGGCCCGCGUCUGAUUAGCUAGUUGGUGAGGUAACGGCUCACCAAGGCGACGAUCAGUAGCUGGUCUGAGAGGAUGAUCAGCCACACUGGGACUGAGACACGGCCCAGACUCCUACGGGAGGCAGCAGUGGGGAAUAUUGGACAAUGGGCGCAAGCCUGAUCCAGCCAUGCCGCGUGAGUGAUGAAGGCCUUAGGGUUGUAAAGCUCUUUUGUCCGGGAAGAUAAUGACUGUACCGGAAGAAUAAGCCCCGGCCAACUUCGUG